UUAGAGUGCCAUGUGGUCCAUGCCCUGAAACCGUUCUAAUUUUCUUCUCACUGCAUUUUUUCCCUCUUCAGAAUGAAGAGCAGCCGGUGUCCUACAGGAAACUGGUCCGUGAGCUUUCUGAAUGUGGAGCGGAAUGCAAGCCCUGUUUACCCUGGCAUUCGAUGGGAAGAAACACACCCCCAAACUCAUUGGAGAGUCUGGGAAAUUUAAUGGUGAGAGCAUCCCUAGCUCGAUGUUUCCAGCGAUGAUGAAGCUUUUAAGGACAGAGUCUCAUUUUUCAGGAUACUUCAUUUAGGCUAUAUGGUAGAAGAGACUUUUGGAUAAGAAUUAUCCUUUCCUUGAAGCAAAGAAGACACUUAAGAAAGCCAGAAGAAUCCUUGGAGGGACGAUUGGCCUGUAAUAGAGGGAACUGCAGACUGUGCCUGAAUGCGUGAUCC